rnacentral:rRNA from 1 species
CAGUCGCCGCGGUAAUACGAAGGGUGCAAGCGUUAAUCGGAAUUACUGGGCGUAAAGCGUGCGUAGGCGGUGAGUUAAGUCUGCUGUGAAAUCCCCGGGCUCAACCUGGGAAUGGCAGUGGAUACUGGCUCGCUAGAGUGUGUCAGAGGAUGGUGGAAUUCCCGGUGUAGCAGUGAAAUGCGUAGAGAUCGGAAGGAACAUCUGUGGCGAAGGCGACUAUCUGGGCCAACACUGACACUGAGGCACGAAAGCGUGGGGAGCAAACAGGAUUAGAUACCCGGGUAGUCCCUGUCUCUUAUAC